rnacentral:rRNA from 1 species
AACCUCCGCAAUGUGAGAAAUCGCGACGGGGGGAUCCCAAGUGCCAUUCUUAACGGGAUGGCUUUUCAUUAGUGUAAAGAGCUUUUGGAAUAAGGGCUGGGCAAGACCGGUGCCAGCCGCCGCGGUAACACCGGCAGCUCUAGUGGUAGCAGUUUUUAUUGGGCCUAAAGCGUCCGUAGCCGGUUUAAUAAGUCUCUGGUGAAAUCCUGUAGCUUAACUGUGGGAAUUGCUGGAGAUACUAUUAGACUUGAGACCGGGAGAGGUUAGAGGUACUCCCAGGGUAGAGGUGAAAUUCUGUAAUCCUGGGAGGACCGCCUGUUGCGAAGGCGUCUAACUGGAACGGUUCUGACGGUGAGGGACGAAAGUUAGGGGCGCGAACCGGAUUAGAUACCCGGGUAGUCCUAACUGUAACGAUGCGGACUUGGUGUUGGGUGGCUUUGAGCUGUUCCAGUGCCGAAGGGAAGCUGUUAAGUCCGCCGCCUGGGAGUACGGGUCGCAAGACUGAAACUUAAAGGAAUU